AUGGAUAAGGCUUUCACGUGAUAUGCUGUAUGGGAGUAGCAACUAACAAACAUUCCUAUGACAGAUGUAACCUGGUAACCUUAAAUUGUUACCUUGAUCUUGGAGUAGGAAAGAAGGCCUGGAAAAAGGGAGAAGGGACAAGGGAAACAUGAGUCCGAGGAAGUCUACUCCAGACUGGUUUUCACAUCUAUACUGAAGUGAAGUGAAGGUAAAUUGUUUUCAGUUCUCUGUACAAGAACUGAACAUGCUCUAGGCUACUGUCUUGCUUAUCCAUCCCCUUUUAUUUAUGCCAUAUUUAAUUCCAACUUAUCUGGUCUUCCAGCAACUAGGAAUUAUAUUAGGGAAGUGUGCAAGUGAGUUAGAAGUCAGAUAGAAAGAUGUGUUCAGCUAUGGUUUAAUAUCACGGGUGAAGCACUCACUGCACUGAGCUUAAAAGAAUUUACAGUGGUGAUCCUAUAUGUGAAAUAUAUUUGGACUCAAAUUAUCAAUCACUACAAGUAUCUGAGGAUGUGCAAGUAUGCCUACUGAGUGUACUGAGUAUGGUGAUGAAAUGCAACUCUCAUAGGAAUAAUGAUAUAGAGGACUGUACCCUUCAAAUGUAAAAUUAUCUUUUGGAAAGAGGGGUCAUUCAAUGAGGAUUAAAACGAGAGGUUUUUUUUUUCCUCCUAUUGCAUAUAGGAUCCAUGGUGCCACAGAUCUGUCUGGAAAUUAGACACUUUUUUAGUUCACAGUGUCAUGUUCUUAGAAGAUGUAUAAAGUAGCAAAUUUUAGGUAACGAGGUAAAGAUGCAGUCUGUAGGUGUGGCCUUUGUGAGAAGAGGCCAAGAGUUGCCCCCAUGCUGGACAGAGCCAGUUUCAUCCAUCUAAAAAUGUCCUCACAAGAAGACACAGCUGAGAUGAUCAACCAAACUGGUCAUGGGAAAACAUGUUUAAGAAAGGGUAAAAGAAUGUUGUGAAAACCCACCACAGAAGUUUAUGGCUUUCUUAUGUCAGGUGAGACCCUCCUCCCUCUUCCCAGAUCUGCUGUACUAUC
rnacentral:lncRNA from 1 species